UCGUCGCAGCUACCAUGCAGUCGAGCGGUACAGGAGAAGCUUGCUUUCUUGCUGACGAGCGCGCGGACGGGUGAGUAAUGUAUGGGGAUCUGCCCGAUAGAGGGGGAUAACUACUGGAAACGGUGGCUAAUACCGCAUAAUGUCUACGGACCAAAGCAGGGGCUCUUCGGACCUUGCACUAUCGGAUGAACCCAUAUGGGAUUAGCUAGUAGGUGGGGUAAAGGCUCACCUAGGCGACGAUCUCUAGCUGGUCUGAGAGGAUGAUCAGCCACACUGGGACUGAGACACGGCCCAGACUCCUACGGGAGGCAGCAGUGGGGAAUAUUGCACAAUGGGCGCAAGCCUGAUGCAGCCAUGCCGCGUGUAUGAAGAAGGCCUUAGGGUUGUAAAGUACUUUCAGCGGGGAGGAAGGUGAUAAGGUUAAUACCCUUAUCAAUUGACGUUACCCGCAGAAGAAGCACCGGCUAACUCCUGCG
rnacentral:rRNA from 1 species